AGCAGUAGCCACGGGAAUACGAAGGGGGCUAGCGUUGUUCGGAUUUACUGGGCGUAAAGCGCACGUAGGCGGAUCGAUCAGUCAGGGGUGAAAUCCCAGAGCUCAACUCUGGAACUGCCUUUGAUACUGUCGAUCUGGAGUAUGGAAGAGGUGAGUGGAAUUCCGAGUGUAGAGGUGAAAUUCGUAGAUAUUCGGAGGAACACCAGUGGCGAAGGCGGCUCACUGGUCCAUUACUGACGCUGAGGUGCGAAAGCGUGGGGAGCAAACAGGAUUAGAUACCCCAGUAGUCCCUGUCUCUUAUAC
rnacentral:rRNA from 1 species